rnacentral:lncRNA from 10 species
CGUAAGUACAGCAGAGUGGUUCCCAAGCUUUAUGACUAGAGAAGCUACUCAGGGAGAAGCCUGAGAUGGACCUUCCAGGUGCAUCCCUGAGACCGUGAUUUGGGAGGUCUGCAGUGGGCCUGAGGACCAUCGUCAAUCAUUAACAAACAUUCUAGGUGACUCUAACUCAAAGGAUCUAGGAUUUGACCAACAAUAAGGGGCUGUUUUUAGUCCAUAUCACCAGAUGCCAACAGUGAGGUCAGUGAUGAAGGAGCUUUGAGUCUUGACUAUUCUUUAACUGCCAGGAGCCCU